UUCCCCGUCUAAGCAAAAGUAAAAAAAACGGUACUGUUCCGUCCGUCUCGUCCUGGAUCAGCUACGAGUGUUGGAAAAGAAGCUCGCGCGCAAGGCCUACCUUAACCACCGAAGAUUCAAACAUAUAUAUUUUCUUUAGCUUUUAUGAUAAACGCUCCAAACUAAUUUGAAACAAAGUUCUUUAGCACGCUUUUACACAUGAUCGCUAAUUUUGCUAGCAGUUUUGAACAUUUGCUACUAUUUUAUGGGAAAUUGCGGGAAGCCUCGGAGUCGAGUUAAAGCACUGGCCGGACAACUGACAGAGACUUUCGGUAUGCGGUGUUGGAAAGUUCCCGGAAAGCCUGGGGCUUUGAACCAACUACAAUUUUUUAAUUCUUUUAUAUACAAAAUAUCAGAACUUGUCGUUUAAGGUUUGUGAGACGAUUGCUUAAAAGGGUGUUACGUAUUUUAAGUCUGAAUACAUUUUUUUUUACAUUUUAGGUUGUAGGCCGCGAGUUAGCCUUCAGCUGAUAACUUUAGAUAACAUUAUUAAUAGAUAAACGGGCUUUAACAAAUAUUAUUUGAGAAAUAUUAAAAUGAUAUUUUCCUCAAUGGAGAGUUUUAGUCUAUUGUAAUGGAGAAGUGUUACAUUUGUGUCGCCUGUAACAAAAAAUGGCGUUAGGUAACACUGGGUGCAUUAAUAACGUUAAAUACUGUGGGGAUUAGUAUUUUAUCUUAAAGCUAUUAAAAUUACAAUGUCGGAUCAAAGUUAAAUUCGGUCAACGACGUUGAUUUAAAUCAAAUGUUUAUUUUAUAUUUAUACUCGUCUACAAGUCGCCUUCGUUCGAAGGAGAACGUUAAUGCACAAUAUGGCCGCCGUGGUUGUUAGCUUUAGCACAGUUAGCUUAGCAUAGCUCUGUCUCCUCCACAACAGCAGUGAAGUGAAAACAUGAUUUUAAAAAAGUGAAAAAUUAACUCGAUUUUUUAGAUCGACGAUAAAUGAAAUACCAUCUAGCUUAAACAUUAUAUUUGAUUUCAGAAACGUAACACGGACGAUUUUAUGAAUCGCCCUUUAGGUGCUGAUGUGGAAUCUUCAAUUCAGGAAAUAUAUCUACAAUAAUAUUAACUAGAUUAGAUUAUAGCCAUUCGAUUUAAUUCUUAUUGUCUCUAUUUAAGUAUUUAAUAAAAAAAAAUAAACAAAUAAUAACGAGUACUGGAUAUAUUGUAUAUUAGAUAUCUAGCUAAGAUUAGUUGCCAUGGUGAUGGAAAUAGCACGGAAACCUACGUUGUUUUCUUAUUACUGUAAUAUAACAGAGUUAUAGCGUAUAUAUAAAACAUAGUUAUGUGUGUGUAUAUAUAUUUUGGGGAAUAGUCGAUAAAUUGCACGCGCCAAUGCUAAGGAAGCCUAGCAUAAACGCUAUUCUAGAAAUUUGUCUUUGGUCGCUGGGAAACACAUUAAAACGCGAUUUUUACGAUGUUUAAUCCAUUGUUAAGUAUGUAGAUUUCGAUUUUUGUAACGGAUAACUAUAAAAUAUUAGUCAACUGGGAUAUCUUAGCCGGCUAAGAUGACCACUGUUAGCCGGCUAACAGUAAAAGCUUUGUUAUAUGUAACUCGGGUGUGUUUCACCGCUGUGUCCUUUUUUAUAUAUAUUUGUCUACAUGCAUGUACUAGUAUAUCUGGCAAAGGUUAUGUUCUUAGCGACAUUAUUUUUUUUUAGAAAUGAAACGUCUCUAAUCCAUCUUCAGAGCUGUACGUGGUGUGCCAGUAUGGCGGAGGCGUCUCUAAUAAAAAUGGAGUCUGCUCUGUUACUGGGGUUGUUGUUUUGUAAGGAAGAGAGAAGUCAGGCUGAGUCAUUUGCUACAGCUAAACAUGUCUCCUUCCUUAUUAUUUUACCCCCUCUGACGUUUUAGAAGUCAGUUCAGUGUGCCAGUUACGUGAUCCAGAUUGAAACGGAAAAAACAUGAAACAGGAAUUUUCUUUUUCGUGCCACAGAGGCAGAUGAUCUGCUUUAGGGGCAAGUCAGGUUAGAGGGGUCCUCUCAGUGUUGUUCAGGUAUUUUCAGGGGAAAGUAGGUACAGCAUGCUGGGAAAGUGGCUAGAAGUUGCCGGGUGACGUCACCGACGUGUUCAUUUGCAUAUUCAUAGAGGUCAUUAUUGUAUAAACUCUAUAUCCAACUUGUGUAAUGUCUUCGGAAUCAUGUUGGAUGAAUGCGAAACUGUAUGAAAGAACAGAAGACAAGGAAGUUAUGAUAUCUAGUUACUACUCUUGGGCACAUUUUACUUUUAUAAUUAGCCACAUUCUUAUGCACAUCUCUGUCGUAUUUUGACAUACACUGAAUUGCCAAAAGUUUUGGGACACCACUCUAAAUCAUUGAAAUCAGGGGUUGGUCUUGAUUCCUUACUUCCAGUAAAAAAUGGAACUCUUAAUGCUUCAGCAUACCAAGGCAUUUUGGACAAUUUCAUGCUCCCAUCUUUGUGGGAACAGUUUAGACAUGACCCCUUCCUGUUCCGACAUGGCUGUGAACCAGUGUAAAAAGCAAGUUACAUAAAGACAUGGAUCAGCUAGUUUGGUGUGGAGGAACUUCAGAGAGUCUUGACCUCAACCCCAUAGAACACCUUUGGGAUGAAUUAGAGCGGGGACUGCGAGCCAGGCCUUCUCAUUCAACAUCAGUGCCUGAUGUCACAAAUGCGCUUCUAGAGGAAUGGCCAAAAAUUCCCAUGAACACACUCCUAAAGCUUGUGGUAAGCCUUCCCAGAAGAGUUGAAGUUGAUUAGCUCAGGACCCAGUCAAGUUCCUCCACACCAAACUCGCUCAUCCAUGUGUUUAUGGAGCUUGUGCAGUCAUGUUGGAACAGGAAGGGGUCAUCCCCAAACUGUUCCCACAAUGUUAGGAGCAUGAAAUUGUCCAAAAUGUCUUAGUAUGAAGCUGAAGCAUUAAGAAUUCCUUUCACUGGAACUAAGGGGUCAAGCCCAACACCUGAACGCAAUGAUUUGGAGGGGUGUCCCAAAACUUUUGGCAAUAUAGUGUAAAAGCAAGCUGCUACAUGUAAAUUAUGAAGUAAAUAUCAGUAACUGGGUCCCUUGCCCCAAUCAUAUUCAGUCUCUUCACCCUGUGUCAAAUGACAUUUAGUGGUUCUUGGCUGAGCCUCAUUAUAAACAGCAGGAGAUGGAGAGUAGUACAUUCAGAGAGUUUGGCUAUUUCAUCAAAGUUUGGAAAAAAUGAUGAGCACCGAUUUACCACCAUGGCUUCAAGUAGGAGAGAUUUAGCUCCUCAGGAAGCUUUAGCUGCACGUCUUGAAGACGAGGAUGACAGAAGUGCUUCAUCUGAUUCGGGAGCGUGUCAUCAGAUGAAGCAUCUUCCUGGAGAGGGAGCCGGUUUACGUUUUAAAAAAAUUGCUGAUCCACAAUCUUGCUCAACUGCUGCAGUCAACAUUACCCCUGUAUACCAGCCUUCUAGAGGAGGAUGAAUGCCAAAAUGCUGGACCACUGGACCGUUUUCAUCUGUGAUUUUCAAAGGCUUCAGUGCCAAAAUACCAACAAACAGGCAGCUAGAACACUGGACAUGGUCAAAAAGUACAUAUGGUCCAAUGUCAUUGUGGGCGAAUUCUACAAGUUCAUUAGUCACACAUCAGCGGUUCCUCUAAAACAGAUCCAGGUUUAGUGGCCAGAGAGCCUCUACUCUGUCCCAUCUCCAGUAACAGUUAUGGUCAGGGAUAGGUACAGAAUGUUGAGUGACCCAGGCAGAGAUAUGGCGAAGGAGACACCAGACCAUAACGAGUUGUUUCAUACAAGAUGGCUUCUCAAUGAGAUGUGUGCCAUGUGCCAGGCAUAUUACCAUCCAAGAACGGAGCUGUAAAUCUGACAUGACCCAGGAUAUGAAGAUGGUUAUUGAUCAUUGGGAGCAAUGAUGAUCAAUGGAACUUGGAAACAGCAGGUCUUUAGGAACUAUGCCAAUUAGUGAUUGGUUGCAGGGAGCAGUGGUGAUGAGUGAUCGGACAUUAGGGUCCAGAGUGAUUCAGUUGUUGGUUUUGUCUUUUUUUGGGGGGGAGUAAAGGUGACCAACAGUUGGCCAGUGGGAUCAGUAAUCAGUGACUGGACAUUAGGAACAUUGUUGGUUGGGAACUAUGAUGGUCAGUGAUUGGACAUUAGGAACAAUGAUGGUCAGUGUUUGGACAUUAGAAACAUCGAUAGUUGGGAACUAUGAUGGUCAGUAAUAGGACAUUAGGAAAUAUGGUGGUCAGCGAUUGGACAUUAGGAACAUAGAUGGUUGGGAUCUAUGAUGGUCAGUAAUAGGACAUUAGGAAAUAUAGUGAUUAGUGAUUGUUGGGCACUGUGGUGAGCUGCGAUUGGACAUAGUGAAUCCAGCAAACCCGCUCUCUCGGCUCAUAUAUCAGCAGCUUUGAGAUGGAGAACCAUAUCGAGUUCAGGACAUCCGCCAGCAACUGCUUUAAAAGUAGCUAGAUUUGUCAUUAAGGUCUCUAAAUUGGCAACAUUGUGCUUUCUUAUUGUUCUUUCUCUUGGAGCAGGAGUUCUUAAUGGCCGCCAGUUUUUUUUUGUUUAUAUUCUUUCUGCUCCCACACCCACCUAACUUUGUGAGUUUAUCAGGUUUCUCAGAGCAGGACUCCAACAUGGACUUUUAACAGUACAGACGUGUUCUCACAGGACCUGAUGUCCUCAGUCCAUAACAAAAACUAUAACACUUGCUGCUCCACACACUGAAAUGUUACACUCAAGCAAUGACAGAAAUCUGAAUGUCAGUUAAUUUACAGCACAUGUUCAUGACUCCUGGUCCUGGAGAACUUCCUGUUCAGCAAAUUUUAGUGCUUUUUCAGCUCCCAAGACACCUGAUUCAGCUUGGAAAAUGUGAUUGAUUAAAUGAAUCAGGUGUGAUGUGCAGGACAGCAGUCUUUCCUGGAACAGGGAUGAGAUCUUGUAGUGUACAGAAUUAUCAUGCGGUGUCCUCAGCCUGGGAUGUGUGUCAUGUAAAUGUAAGGUGAUUUAAAUUAAGCUUCAUUAUAAUGAGACAACUUUAGGAUUGGUGCACCAAACUUCAAGCUCCAAAUCUUAGCAAAGCUGUUUCUGUACCAAAAUGAUGUUAUGUUACUUUUAGUUCAUCACUAAGUCUUUGGUUUUCUUCUUUAAUUGUUUCUUUGUUAGAUUUCUCUUCUGGUUUCCAGACCGGUGAGUUUUCUUCAUACUGAAAAGCAUGACACUUCAAAAUAAAGUCAGUAGAGAUGUCAGUAGUGUUGAAAACCCAGUGUCCACACGUUUUUAGCGACUCUCCCUACCCUACCCUCACACACCUGACCCAGAUAAUCACCUAAUUAACAGCUGUUUCUCAGUCGACUCAGGUGUGUUGGACAGAUGUCCAGGACAGAUGGUUGUCCAUGAAAAAUGACCGUGAAAAAUUGUUUCACGUGUUCUUGUGUACAUACACUGUAUUGCCAAAAUACAGGCCCUUAGUUCCAGUGAAAGGAACUCUUAAUGCUUCAGCUUCAUACCAAGACAUUUUGGACAAUUUCAUGCUCCCAACUUUGUGGGAACAGUUUGGGGAUGACCCCUUCCUGUUCCAACAUGACUGCACACCAGUGACCAAAGCAAGGUCCAUAAAGACAUGAAUGAGUGAGUUUGGUGUGGAGGAACUUCAGAGUCCUGACCUCAACCUCAUAGAACACCUUUGGGAUGAAUUAGAGCAGAGAGUGCGAGCCGGACCUUCUUGUCUUCUGUGCAGGCUAGUCAAGUUCCUCCACACCAAACUAGUUCAUUCACGUCUUUAUGGAGCUUGCGCGCGAAGGUUUGAAGGGGUGUCCCAAAACUUUUAGCAAUGUAGUUUAUUUUAACUUUGAUACACACCACUGCUUAAUCCUCAACUGAAGAUAGCAAGCCUUAUUCUUCUUCACCACAAAUACAAACCUUUUUGUAAGGUACUUUUUGAUCUUCACCUCAGAUAUGUUCACCUGUGUGUGUUAAGGAUUUCUAGCACCACAUUUGCAUGCAUGUGAAGUACAAGUUAAAAAAACACGUUUUGUUGGAAGACUUUAGGUACUUUACAUGGGCGUGUAAUGACUUGUAUGACUUGUAUGAUCAUGUCUCAGCUUAAUCCAAUGUCAGCAUAGUGUUAGUGUGUUUAAAGUAAGUGUUAAACAUAUAACCUGCCGAAAGAAGACUCGAUAAGCGUUCAUAUUUUUCUAACGAUGUUUAUUAAUGAUCAGAGCUCUAGGCUACUUUCCCGAGCCCUGAUUUCCUGUCGUUCUUUAUGUACGUAUUUUUAAGCCCUGUACAUUUAUUCCUGAUCUCAGAAUAAAAAGCUCUCUUUUACACCA